CUGCGGAGGGCCAGCACUUGACUGGGUGAAUGGGUGGUCUUUUAAGAUGGUGUUUUUGCCAGGAAUCCUGGGAGGUCCCAGCAGUGGCCAGUACUUCCAUCUGUGAUUUUCAUGAGUUGGUCUGUUGAUGUGACUGAAUUUUAAAUGACUGAUUCAAUGGUUGCGUGCUCCAGCAAGAUACUGAAAUCAAACAAACAACUGUGGAAGCCAGAAGUAAGAAACAAAAACAGAAAUUUCCGGAGAAACUCAGCAGGUCUGGCAGCAGCCGUAGAGAGAAAGCAGAGUUAUCAUUUAAGUCCAGUGACCCUUCUUCAGAACUCAGUUCCGCUUUUGUUACAGUUCUCCCUGUAUGAGUUGGUUGGGAAAUAAUGGGCAGUUGUUUCUGAUAGUCCCUCCAUAAAUUUGUUUAAGCAGAGAACGUGAAGUUUUAGUUCCGUGAUGUCCUUUCCAUUGCUCCCUCUGACUGCCAAGAAUAAGAUCUAAAUCGUUUGGCAUCUAUUUAGUCUGUCAAAGCUGUGAUGGAAGUAACAUGAAGAAGUCUCCCUCUGUUGUCUCAGGUUAGGUAUUAAAAGUAAGGUGAUACUUAAUUUUCCACUGGGGAAGUGACUCUGACACUGCAUACUCUCCCUUUCAGAAAAUAUGUUGCAUUUGAUUAAGUGAAUGGCCUAGUUCCAUUAAUUAUUUGGAAUCUUAUUAGCUAUUUGCCAUUCUAAUAUAAUAUGUAAAUAAAAUCAAAACUAAAUUAAAA